AUGGUUUCAGCAAAAAUCUCAUCGGCAGAAAACUCCAACAAUCUAUUUGUAGCAAAUAAAUUAGCUAGUUUCGGCAAAAAGAAACACUGGUUCUUGCAAAAUCAAAUCUCAGCAGCAAACAAAAGCGCCAGUGCCGAUCGCAGUUGUCCCCGUCGUCCACCGUUGAAGCUUCCUGGUGCACAACGGGGAGGAGGGGAGGAGUAUGGCCUUGCCUAUGGACCCCUGCCAUGGCUGAAGAAAAGGUUGGGGGCGGACGGCACCACAACAACGGAGGAGAUAGGGGAACAGGGGGAGCAGUUUCCAAUCUAA
rnacentral:rRNA from 1 species